GGGGGUGACUUGGUUUCGAUUCGGGAAAUAAAGCAAAAAUAGCAUGUCGUGGGUGUUGNNNNNNNNNNGUUUAAAAAGACUCGACAAUAUAAUGAUCAUGCAUGUUGUUUAAAUCUAUUUGAUCAAACCAAUAUUCCGCUCUGGAAUACAAACUUGAGAUAUGCAUGUAGAAGUUUUUGUUUGACAGCUUGAAGACUGCGGUUCAACUCCGCACACC
rnacentral:tmRNA from 1 species